UAGGGAAUCUUCGGCAAUGGGGGGAACCCUGACCGAGCAAUGCCGCGUGAGUGAAGAAGGUUUUCGGAUCGUAAAGCUCUGUUGUAAGAGAAGAACGUGUGUGAGAGUGGAAAGUUCACACAGUGACGGUAACUUACCAGAAAGGGACGGCUAACUACGUGCAAGCAGCCGCGGUAAUACGUAGGUCCCGAGCGUUGUCCGGAUUUAUUGGGCGAAAAGCGAGCGCAGGUGGUUUUAUAAGUCUGAAGUAAAAUGCAGUGGCUCAACCAUUGUGUGCUUUGGAAACUGUACAACUUGAGUGCAGAAGGGGAGAGUGGAAUUCCAUGUGUAGCGGUGAAAUGCGUAGAUAUAUGGAGGAACACCGGUGGCGAAAGCGGCUCUCUGGUCUGUAACUGACACUGAGGCUCGAAAGCGUGGGGAGCAAACA
rnacentral:rRNA from 1 species